UACGGAGGGUGCAAGCGUUGUCCGGAGUUAUUGGGCGUAAAGCGCGCGCAGGCGGUUUCUUAAGUCUGAUGUGAAAGCCCUCGGCUCAACCGUGGAGGGUCAUUGGAAACUGGGGAACUUGAGUGCAGAAGGGGAAAGUGGAAUUCCAAGUGUAGAGGUGAAAUGCGUAGAGAUUUGGAGGAACACCAGUGGCGAAGGCGACUUUCUGGUCUGUAACUGACACUGAGGCGCGAAAGCGUGGGGAGCGAACAGG
rnacentral:misc_RNA from 1 species